AUCGGCUCUUAUAAUAAACGGACAACGGACCAUUUUAUUACGUUUUCGAAGUGAAACGUCAAUCAGAAGCGAAUAGCCUACUUUACAGUAUUUGCUGAGGGGAGAGACCAGGAGGUCAUUCGUAGUGAUAUAAAGAUGACAGCCAUUGCAACAAAACCUGAGGAUCACAGCUAUCUUAGUUUGGAACUGGAGCAUCAGUUCCUAUACAGCUUGAAGAGGCCUUGAAAGUCAUAUUAUGGGACAUUACACCUAAGGAUGCAAAAAAACAACAACUUUUAUUUACUUUAUGGCAAGAACGCUACAUUUCUCUAAAGCAACUUAUGAUUGCAAGUUUCGUUGUUUCCAAUAAAGUUCAAUGGAACGUACCA